UUUUUAACUUGGUUGACAUCUGCUAGGGACAUAACUUAUAUCCAGGCACUUGGGCAAGCAGUUGGUGCCAAGAGAGUGCAACAUGCAAGUGUUAUUCACCUCUAACAAUCUGGGCAACGUCUUUUUUUUGAGCCUAAUUGUGGCUCUGAGUGCCAAAUAUUUUAAAACUGAUCUUUUGGCAUUGCUAUGUUAACCAACGAACAGCUUAAUAGCAGGAAAUGCCUGGAGUGUUAGUGGGAAAUAGUAUUUAUUUAUUCUGUAGAAGACCCUGAAGGAGCCCUUCAGCACUUGUACCCCACUGCAACUCUGCUAUGCUGUACAGGAAGGCUCCUCUGCACAGUAGACCUGGGUUUUACUACUAUAUGUGUCAUGCUUGCUCAGCGAUCUGGGGUAUGUUGCUUGAUUUUUUUCUGCUGAACUUCCCAUCUUGAAACAGUAUUAGUAAUUCCUCUAUUCAAUGUGCUAUCAGAACUAUAGCUGCAAAUGACUAUAUAAAAGCUAGGCUGUGUUUUGAUAGGGGAUAGGAGAGAAGAAGAAAUAUGUAUUUUGUGCAUGUUGUAAGUCCAAGAGAAAAAUGCUGGGCUACUUGACUGAAAUGAAUAGAUCACUGCCUCCCAAAAUUUCAGCAGAAAGCUUGCAGCUGUAACUGUCAUAGUGCAAUUCCUGUCUGACUACUCAGAGUAACAGAGCCUGGCAAGGAAACUACGAGACCUCAUGCAAGAAAGAAAAUACUCUUUUCAAAGAGGAAAAAAAAAAGGAAAGCAAUUCUGUGCGAUGAUGGCACAACCUUGAAGAGCUCAGGAGAAGGAAGAGCAAAGUCCCAGAGGAAGCAGAGGGGUGUAUACCUCAUACACCCAGAAGAGCUUCCCAGGACAGGAGCAAUUGGCUGGUGAGGUGUUCACACAUUAGAGCAAAGUUGAAAGCGCUAAUCAAGGAAUAGGCAACCUUCCUUCGUGUACCUCCCCUCACAACCAUUUCUUCAGUGGCCAGAGAAUUAUCAGCUGUUUGGGGAGUGGAGGGGAAAGGCAACUCCAAGAGAGUCUCUUCCUAACCAGGGGAAUGGGCAUUGGCCCCCCAGGAGCCUCCCAGGAAGACACAGAAUAAUGUAUCUUGAUCAAAGAAGGCAAAAUUCAGAAACACAUUUCCAAGGUUUUCCUUGCAUUUACAGUGCUGUAAGACCAUAGCUUUAGAGGUGUCUGCAUGCUUGUUAUGACUUAAGAGGAAGUUACCUGGAAGUAACCAUGUGUGACAGCAUCCUGAUCUGGCUCCCUUUGUUGUCCACGAAAGGAUUUUCAAGGUCUUGAACAGAAUCUGGAUCAUUCUCCUACUGCCAUGGUCGUUUGCCCUGAGAGGCUCAUUUGCAACCUCUUCAAUUACCUUUCAAACACUCAAACUGUUGAGGCUGAGUUUGUAUCUAUUGUGAUUUGGCUCCAUCACAUAUUUUAUGUAAUGGGUGUGCAUAGUGCCUUAUCAAAACACAGAGCUCUGUGCUUUGCUUCACAUAUAGACAAAUAAUGAUUAAAAAAAAUAAGAAAAAAUAUAAAAGCAUGCAUCCUUAUAUAUAACAAAUGCUUCUCUUUUUUUCUGUCUCCAUGGAAAUUCUGAAUUAAACUACAAGUUGUUGCUAUUAAAUGGUAACAGAUCUGCACAGUCCAGAAAAGCACUUCUGCAUUUGUGAUCUCUCUUUUGUGAUAACCACCACAAUAUUACAGCCUGCUCCUGCAGUGACAGGAAAUGAUAUUCAAAUUUUGCAUUUCUGCUUAGCCCACAUAGAUAUUUAGCCAGAGAUAAUAAGAAAAUACUUCACAAUUAUGCUAGCUAAGAGUCUAUUAUCCCUUCAAAUCCAUGGUCUGCACAGAAGGGAAAGCUGAAAGGACUAUUUCAGUCAUUUAGGGUAUAUGUUUCUCUGGCACACUCAUAAUCUGACCAAAGCCAUUAUUUGGAAGUCAUUUGCACUCAAUCAUUUUGCCUGUUAAUGAGGAGUUACUGAAUCCUCCAAGCAUUAAUCCCAUUUAGGAAAACACAAAGGCAAUCUGUACCUUGUAUCAAGCAAUUAUGAUUGCAUUGAGCUUGAGGAAUUCAGUCAUUUGUUGGAGGUUGAUUUUCCCACAACAGACCCUCUAAAUAGAAUUACCAAGCCUUUCAAAUGUUAAUUUGUUAAGAAAAAUAUAAUGGCUAAUAAAGACAAUUAGGUUUGUAUUGUAAAUACUGGACUGCAGGACUAAAGCUGCCAUGGCUUGUCAGAAAAGUGUGGCAGGAAUCUGUAAAACUGAGGAUGGAAACUAUCUUCUUACCGGAAUAAAGAACAUGCAGAUAUUAGCAUUGGUCCCCAAAAUAUAUUUCACUCAAUGUAAAUGUAACACUGAGCUAAAGAAAGUGAGGCCUGAUUUUAUUUUAUUUUUUUUUCCCCAUAAAAAUAGGUUUAUGCAAGUAAUACUGAAAGUCUGAGAUUGUUAGUGAAAGAGUAAUAUGGCACUCUUGGAAAAAAAGCAGGUCAUUUAGAGAUAAGAGCAUCAUAUAUAAAAAAGAUUUGUGCUUGUAAUUCUGUACGUAGUUCUGCUUGUGCCUCAGCAAGGGCACUUUGUUCAUUACUGGGUCCCAGACUUCAUGACAUAGCCCAGAGAAGAGCAGUACAAAUAAGUUUAGAAAACAUGAAGUUUGGGGAAAAGUCUACAAAACAGAAACUAAGGGAAAGUGGUAGGUAGCAUAGGACAGAAAGUAAUUAUAUAUCUCUUGAAGGUUCUUCUAGCCCUGUUUGCAGAUAGCAUGGGCAACGUUCUCUUUGAUUAUCUUUUCUCAUCUCUGAUUGCUGCAAAUAAAAAAAAAAAAAAAUCCCGGGCUGAAUUUUCCUUUUUUUAUUAAAGUGAUACUCUGCAAUCACUGUCUUUGUAACAAUCAUUUUAUUCCCCAAGACACAUGCUCACAAACAGCCUAAACAAUACAGAGAAAUCCAUGAAACCAUUUAGGAGUGAAUUUGACUACAUGCCUAGAUCUAAUUUUAGGAACUCAGUGUCUCUGGUGGUAUGGAAUACCACCUUUUAUUUUUAUUUUUUUUUCCAUCAGCACCUGGAUAGAUAUUAUAACACAUGAAAAUGUCAGGGCAAUUAUUCAUUUUUCAUCUGCUAGCUUAAUUAUUGCAAUACCUUUUUGUUAGGGCUGUCAUUCCAUACAGGUCAUUCAGAAACUUCAGUUCGUACAGCAUGCUUUCCUGUGUUUGGUCAUGAAUAUCAAAUAAUGUUCUCUAUCCUUCCUCCUAUGCUUUUUUUUUUUUCCUACUAUAUUCUGUUAUUAUUUAUCAUGCAAUCUCAUGUGCUUAUUUUACUUUGUUAACUAUAUAUGCUUAUGUCCUCAGCUAGUUCAGAGGUUUUGCUUUUCCAUGCACUUCUAGCUUAACCCAGGUGCUGAAAUUCUCAGCCACCAGAUUUAACCAGACAGACUUGAG